rnacentral:tRNA from 1 species
CAGAAACUAGGAGAUUUUAACUCCUGCUUUAGGCUUUGAAGGCUUUUGGUCUGAUUUAUCCUAAGUUUCUUU